rnacentral:rRNA from 1 species
UAAUGCUUGGGAACUUGCCUUUGCGAGGGGGAUAACAGUUGGAAACGACUGCUAAUACCGCAUAAUGUCUUCGGACCAAACGGGGCUUCGGCUCCGGCGCAAAGAGAGGCCCAAGUGAGAUUAGCUAGUUGGUAAGGUAACGGCUUACCAAGGCGACGAUCUCUAGCUGUUCUGAGAGGAAGAUCAGCCACACUGGGACUGAGACACGGCCCAGACUCCUACGGGAGGCAGCAGUGGGGAAUAUUGCACAAUGGGGGAAACCCUGAUGCAGCCAUGCCGCGUGUGUGAAGAAGGCCUUCGGGUUGUAAAGCACUUUCAGUUGUGAGGAAAAGUUAGUAGUUAAUACCUGCUAGCCGUGACGUUAACAACAGAAGAAGCACCGGCUAACUCCGUGCCAGCAGCCGCGGUAAUACGGAGGGUGCGAGCGUUAAUCGGAAUUACUGGGCGUAAAGCGCACGCAGGCGGUUUGUUAAGCUAGAUGUGAAAGCCCCGGGCUCAACCUGGGAUGGUCAUUUAGAACUGGCAGACUAGAGUCUUGGAGAGGGGAGUGGAAUUCCAGGUGUAGCGGUGAAAUGCGUAGAUAUCUGGAGGAACAUCAGUGGCGAAGGCGACUCUCCUGGCCAAAGACUGACGCUCAUGUGCGAAAGUGUGGGUAGUCGAACAGGAUUAGAUACCCUGGUAGUCCACACCGUACACGCUGUCUACUAGCUGUGUG